rnacentral:lncRNA from 1 species
GCCUAUUUUCGCAUUGGUGCCAAAGACUUAAUAUUUUUUUCUUCCGCGGCCAUACACGACCACGCGAAAUGGCAGCCGCGUGGUUGGUGAGAAAAUUUGCUUCUGGAUAAUCACGUUCGGCCAGAAACGACCAGAGCGAGAAUUUAAAAAUUUGCUGGCUAAACGUAGCUGGUGGAGGCGAUGCCGUCAGAAAUGGCUGGCGCGCUCUACAUUGGCCUCUGCACGGCCGUAGCCUUAGAAGUGGGAGGCCCACGGGAUUUCCACUACGGAUGUUAUAAACCGUGGCCCUUGCAGCCACUGUUAGCCCUCCGGAAACGGCUGGCUGACGUCGGACUAUAAGCCAGCCUUAAGUGUCGGAAGCGAACCCACCCCUCCACCGGUGGCGAAGCGGGCCGGAGGGUGGACCACUCCCUUUUACUAACUUUUUCUUUAAGCUAAAGCCCGCCUACGGAGGGCGGCCGGGCACCGGGCCUGGAGGCCAGUGGCCGUCCUCUCUAGGAAGAUAACCGGAGGAAACCAGAUUUUUUUCCGCCCAAAAAAUAUGGCCGGUAAUUAGCCGGAGUGACGAUAGCUAGGGAAUAGUCGGACCGAAGUAAGUUGGGAAUUUAGGCAGGUUAAGGGUGGAGAUGGUUGAAGAGCGAGCCUGGGCCUACCGGCCGGUUACUGGAGCCCUACCCAUUUCCCGGUAUUUGGGCCAGCCCCGAACCGGUGGGCCGGGCCGACCACCAAUGCUGGGGAAGAACGGCUAAAGGUUUCCCGGCAUCCAUUUAGGUAAAGGUUGGCCCAUGGUUUAAAGUAUAAAUGUAAAUGAAUAUUUCUAUGAAGGUAAUAUUUAUGUUAAGGUGGAACGGAAAGAAAGGGAAGGCUAAAGUGGUGUUCCGCGGGAAAAGCGGACGGCGCUGGGGGUACGAGCCAAUGGUUUACAUCCUUAAUAUUAAGAGCGAUACUGGGCUGGAGAAUAUUUGCCACCGUAGAACUAAAAGUUGCCAAGCCGUUUCCCAAAUUGCCUACAAGCGGUCCAAACCUAUUAAAUGAUCUCUUUCUCGGUUAAUUUCCGUUUCUGUCCCUAGGCCCUAUCCGCGGCCGCGCCUUCCCUUUUCCUUCCUUUCGAUUACCGGCGUGGGAACGAUGGCCGGGGCACGCUUCCCCGGUUAGACCGUCGGUCGGAACGGAAAAGCCCCAGGAAUUCCCGUGGGUGGACUAAGCUGGUGCCCGGGGUCCGAUUUUUGCACCAGUUUUUCCAAUCGGCGCCUGUAUCCGAGCUUGGGGGCGGUUGGACGGGUUUCCGGGCGGACCGAGUAGUAGAAAAGACGGGUCGAAGACCGACCAAAAGUUGGCCCCGGACGUUUUAACGGAUGGGUUAGCGUUUUCCGGGCUUCAUACCGUUUUCUCGGUGACGCUUUAAAGACGUUUUCGAAAUUUAGCGCUAGUUUUGGGGCCCGUGGUCUGCGGAAAUGGGCCUGGCCUAGGGCUAGCUAUAAAAAUACUGGUCACCGCCGGUCUACUAAUAUUGUUUUUUCCGUCUUUCAGGUGUGGCGACCGGCCGCCGGUACUUCGUCGCCUUCGGCGCCUCUGCUGGU